rnacentral:rRNA from 1 species
GGAAUCUUGCACAAUGGGCGAAAGCCUGAUGCAGCGACGCCGCGUGGGGGAUGAAGGCCUUAGGGUCGUAAACCCCUUUCAGCAGGGACGAAAAUGACGGUACCUGCAGAAGAAGCCCCGGCCAACUACGUGCCAGCAGCCGCGGUAAGACGUAGGGGGCGAGCGUUGUCCGGAUUUAUUGGGCGUAAAGAGCUCGUAGGCGGUUGCGUAAGUCGGAUGUGAAAACUCAGGGCUCAACCCUGAGACGCCAUCCGAUACUGCGCUGACUUGAAUCCAGUAGGGGAGUGUGGAAUUCCUGGUGUAGCGGUGAAAUGCGCAGAUAUCAGGAGGAACACCCAUGGCGAAGGCAGCACUCUGGGCUGGUAUUGACGCUGAGGAGCGAAAGCAUGGGUAGCGAACAGGAUUAGAUACCCCGGUAGUCCCUGAGCGGGCUGGCAAGGCGCAU